rnacentral:snRNA from 1 species
AGGCAAUCUGGUUGAGACAUCUGUCACCCCAUUGAUCACCAGGGUUGAUUUGGCCGAUCCAGCUUGCUACGGAGGUGUCCCAUUUCUCCUGAAGCUAUGCUCAGUGGAAAAGGACAACUUUCCUCAAUACUGGUCUUCUGUUGAGGGUAUAUGAGUAGCUGUGCUUCCCUACUAGAACUUCCAAACAAGCUCUUGAUUCAGUCAUUGCAUAAUUUUGUUGAGUGUGGCAUAUUAUUUACUGAAAUUAUAAACUUAAGUCCUUGCUGAGUAUAAACUUCUACAUUCUCCCAGAG